UUUAGUUSCCAUCAUUAGGUUGGGCACUCWAGRGAGACUGCCGGUGACAAACCGGAGGAAGGUGGGGAUGACGUCAARUCAUCAUGCCCCUUAUGAUUWGGGCUACACACGUGCUACAAUGGAUSGUACAAAGGGCAGCAAAAYCGCGAGGUCAAGCAAAUCCCAUAAAACCAUUCUCAGUUCGGAUUGUAGUYUGCAACU
rnacentral:rRNA from 2 species